rnacentral:rRNA from 1 species
AAUAGAUACCCGGGUAGUCCACGCCGUAAACGUUGGGCGCUAGAUGUGGGGGACCAUUCCACGGUUUCCGUGUCGCAGCUAACGCAUUAAGCGCCCCGCCUGGGGAGUACGGCCGCAAGGCUAAAACUCAAAGGAAUUGACGGGGGCCCGCACAAGCGGCGGAGCAUGCGGAUUAAUUCGAUGCAACGCGAAGAACCUUACCAAGGCUUGACAUAUACGAGAACGCUCUAGAAAUAGAGAACUCUUUGGACACUCGUAUACAGGUGGUGCAUGGUUGUCGUCAGCUCGUGUCGUGAGAUGUUGGGUUAAGUCCCGCAACGAGCGCAACCCUGUUCUAUGUUGCCAGCGGUUCGGCCGGGAACUCAUAGGAGACUGCCGGGGUCAACUCGGAGGAAGGUGGGGAUGACGUCAAAUCAUCAUGCCCCUUAUGUCUUGGGCUUCACGCAUGCUACAAUGGCCGGUACAAAGGGCUGCAAUACCGCAAGUGAGCGAAUCCAAAAGCCGGUCUCAGUUCGGAUUGAGGU